GAUGAAGAACGCAGCGAAAUGCGAUACGUAAUGUGAAUUGCAGAAUUCAGUGAAUCAUCGAAUCUUUGAACGCAUAUUGCGCUCUCUGGUAUUCCGGAGAGCAUGCUUGUUUGAGUAUCAGUAAACACCUCAACUUCCAUAUCUUUUUUGAAAUGGGAGUUGGACUUGAGUGAUCCCAACGCUUUUCCUCACCGAAAAGUGGCGGGUUACUUGAAAUGCAGGUGCAGCUGGACUUUUCUCUGAGCUAUAAGCAUAUCUAUUUAGUCUGCCUAAAAAACAGAUUAUUACCUUUGCUGCAGCUAACAUAAAGGAGAUUAGUUCUUGUGCUGACUGAUGCAGGAUUCACAAAGACAGCUUCGGCCGACUUUGUAAACUCGAUCUCAACUCAAGUAAGACUACCCGCUGAACUUAAGCAUAUCAAUAAGCGGAUGA
rnacentral:misc_RNA from 1 species